ACAAAACUUUCAACAACGGAUCUCUUGGCUCUCGCAUCAAUGAAGAACGCAGCGAAAUGCGAUAAGUAAUGUGAAUUGCAGAAUUCAGUGAAUCAUCGAAUCUUUGAACGCACCUUGCGCCUUUUGGUAUUCCGAAAGGCAUGCCUGUUUGAGUGUCAUG
rnacentral:rRNA from 1 species